rnacentral:rRNA from 1 species
GACGAACGCUGGCGGCGUGCUUAACACAUGCAAGUCGAACGGAAAGGCCCUGCUUUUGUGGGGUGCUCGAGUGGCGAACGGGUGAGUAACACGUGAGUAACCUGCCCUUGACUUUGGGAUAACUUCAGGAAACUGGGGCUAAUACCGGAUAGGAGCUCCUGCUGCAUGGUGGGGGUUGGAAAGUUUCGGCGGUUGGGGAUGGACUCGCGGCUUAUCAGCUUGUUGGUGGGGUAGUGGCUUACCAAGGCUUUGACGGGUAGCCGGCCUGAGAGGGUGACCGGCCAAAUGGGGAUGAAGUGACGGCCCAGCCCCCUAGGGGGGGCAGGGGUGGGAAAUAUUGCAAAGUGGGGGGAAGCCUGAUGCGGCCGCGCCGGGUGGGGGAGGGCGGCCUUGGGUUUGUAACCCGUUUUCGCCUGUGAAGAGGGGUGGGGGAGGGAAAUGGAUAAAGAAGCACCGGCUAACUACGUG